GGCCACACCCGCAGCAUAUGAAAGUUCCCAGGCUAGGGAUCAAAUUGGAGCUGUAGCCGCCAGCCUACACCACAGCCACAACUCGGAAUCCCAGCCACAUCUGCAACCUAUACCACAGCUCACAGCAACCCCGGAUCCUUAACCCACUGAGCAAGGCCAGGGAUUGAACCCGCAACCUCAUGGUUCCUAGUCGGACUUGUUAACCACUGAGCCACGACAGGAACUCCACAUUUUCUGUUCUAAAUAGAAUAGUCUGUGUGAAAGAUCUCAGAGUUGGAAAAUGAUGCAGAUUAGUGGAGAAAUGCAGGAUUUAGAUUCCAAGGAACACCCGGCCUGCAGCAGCUUGCAGGAGAGCCACCUGUGGGGGACGUGGAGGGGGUGGGCAGUAGAAGUGUUUGGAAAAGAGGACAAUGGAUGGGCUCCUGCAAAGCGUGGAUAGACUCAGGUCUGUAGGGAUUUAUCCUGGGUGUACAGCCAUACUCCAGAUCUGAGGUUCCUCCUUGGCAGCAAGAGGCCAUACAUGCAAAGGACUGAGGCCUGGCUGCCUUCUUGGGUAAAAUACCCUCAGCUAUUUUUUCCCUAGUCUCCACUCUAGCCUUACCUGCCUCCACUCUCCGUACCUACCCUGGCCUCUGUACUAUUCCUGUAUGAACAGGCCUUUUCUUUUUCUUUUUAAGGCCACACCAGUGGCAUAUGAAAGUUUCCAGCUAGGGGUCAAAUUGGAGCUGCAGCUGCCAGCCUUUGCCACAGCCACAGUAAUGCCAGAUCCAAGCUGCAUCUGUGACCUACGCCACAACUUGCAGCAACGCUGGAUCCUUAACCCACUGAGCAAGGCUGGGGAUUGAACCCACAUCCUCAUGGACACUGUGUCAGGUUCUUAACAUGCUAAGCCACAGCGGGAACUCUGAACAGGUCUUUUCUUAACCCCAUACCUUUGCCAGCACUCUUCCAGCUGCCUGGCAUGCUCUUCACCCGGUAGACUCCCAUUCAUGCUGUAACAUCCAGCCUCGAAGUUAUAUCUGAGGAGUUCCUGUUGUGGCUCAGUGGUAACAAAUCUGACUAGAAUCCAUGAGGAUGCAUGUUUCAUCCCUGGCCCUCCUCAGUGGGUUAAGGAUCUGGCAUUGCUGUGAGCUGUGGUGUACGGCACAGACGGGGCUCAAAUCCUGUGUUGCUGUGGCUGCAGUGUAGGCUGUCGGCUGCAGCUCCAAUUCAACUCCUAGCUUGGGAACUUCCAUAGGCUGUGAUGUGGCCCUAAAAAUACAGAAAAACCCAGAAAAGCAAAAAACAAAAAGAAAAAAAAAAGAAAAGAAAAAGUUACCUCUAAGAUGCCUUCUUAUUCCUCUGGACUAUGUAGAGUCUGCAUCCCCAUCCCCUUCUCUGUGUUUAGACUGGCAGUGUUGUCUAGCUUCUUGGUAAAUCCGUGCUUUGCUUAGUAAUCUUGGACACAGUGGGGUAAAAAUCUUAGAAUACAGUCAUUUUGUGAUAGAAAAUAAAGAUGGCCUAAUUCUCUGAUGAAAGCAGGAAAUUCAGUUUCUGUAAGAGCCCUCCCUGGCAACUCAUCCCUCAGCUGAGGACAGCUAGAAGGUAUAGAAUAAUGAUUCCUUUGGUCCAUGCACAGGUCUCUCCUGGGGGCUGGGCUGGGGCUGGAGGAUGGCAGGAAGUGCCCUGUGGCUGGGCUUGACCUCAUGAAAGGUCUCAUAUUUCAUCUUUUGAUGUUAUCUCCAAAGGAGGUUAUAUGGGUUAUAUGUCCCAUUGCAGGGGUACCCUGACCUGAGGAAAGCAGAAAAUAUUCAGCUGACAAAGUAAUAUUAGCAUUUCAUUACCAAAGCACACCACUUGUGGUGUACUAUAAAUGAAUAUGCUUUUAAAAUAAAUGCUGUGAUUAUCUUGUGAUUAGCAAUUAUACUGAAUUGCCUUUUUCUUUGAUAUUAAAAGUGAUGACUUAAUAAAUGUAAAGAUUUAAAAUAUGUCACCAUUUGUGUAAUUAUUUCUUCAUAUCUUCAUUUAUUGAUAUACAAAGCACCUUAAAAAUCAGGGGUGGCUCAGCCCUCUCUUAGCCUUUGGGAAGACCCACUUGCCUCAGUUUAGAGAAACAAUAGGCUGGAGUUUUCUUUUGGAGUAGCAAGUUAAGGCCUUGUCACUGCAGCAGCUUGGGUCACUGCUUUGGGUUGCUACUAUGACUUGGCAGCUCUGGCCUGGGAACUUACACAUGCCCUGGGCGGGGCUGAAAGGAAGGAAGAAAGAAGGAAAACAAUAGCUGUGUGACCUUGGGCAAGAUGCAUAAACUAUCUUCGCCUUAGUUUCCUUAUCUGCCCCACUUGCAAAAUGAUGAAAAUAACUCUGCCUUGGAGAUAAAUGAAAUGAGAUAAUGAGGAAAUAAAUGGAAUGCAUAAAGUAUCCAGCAAAGUUUCAGAUAUACAAAUUUGCCAAUAGACAAUAUGUGCCCAGUUAUUGAUAGCAGUGAUUAUUGUUAUUUUAUCAAACUGUCAGGUUUGUUUUUUGUUUUUUGUUUUUGGUCUUUUUAGGACCGCACCCACAGCAUAUGGAAGAUCCCAGGCUAGCGGUCAAAUCAGAGCUGUAGAUGUCGGGCUGCACCACAGCCACAGCAACAUGGGAUUCUGAGCCUCGUCUGCUACCUACACCAGAGUUCAGGGCAACACCGGAUCCUUGACCCACUGAGGGAGGCCAGAGUCGAAUCUGUGUCUUCGUGGAAACUAGUCGGGUUUGUUACCACUGAAUCUCCAUGGGAACUCCCAAAGUGUCCGUUUAUUUCCAGCUGUUCUGAUGCCGAAUAUUUCUGUAUCUAUUAUCUAUUAGACAAAUCAUUUUAAAAUUUAGUGGCUUAAAGUAACAACCAUUUAUUAACCUCAAAUUCUGUGGAUUUCUUGUUUAGUUUGGGCUCAGCCAGCAGGUUUUCUGGACUCAGCUGGCAUUCCUUCUGCUUCUGUGGUCAGCUGUGGCUGGCAGCCUUGAUUUUGGCUAAACUCUUCAUGUGUUUGGGGGCCUCUGCUGACUCAUUAACUCAUCUCCAGCAGCCUCGCCUGGACUUGUUCGUAUGCGGGGACAAGAGUCCCAAGGGUUCAAGCGUCAGGGUGCAAAUCCUCUUGAGGCUAAGGCUUGGAAUUAGUGCAAUGUCAACCUCUGCCACAGUCUAUUGGGCAAAGCUAGUCACAGUCUCAUGGGGUGGGGAAACAGACUCUGUGGAUGGGAAGAGCUACAGAGUCACAUCUGUAAAGCAUCAUAGAUAUAGGAAGGGAAGUAAGGGGGUCACUUUUGCAAACAAUUUACCGUAGUUCUCCCUUUUUAAACAAAAACUAGAACCUUGAGUUUAUUCCCCAUGUGUCCCAGUGAGCCAGUGGGGAUGAAUUCUGUUCUUUUCCACUGUCUGAUCCAAGCCUAUUUUUAGAUCUAGCCUAAUAAAAUGAAUUUCACACCUGGGUUACUCACCCACCAACAAACACUUUGUUCUUAUCGAUGCCUGGUACAAACACCUAGGCAGCCUGGAUUUGUAGUUCUAUUACCUCCAAGCACAAUAAUUGUUAAUUACUUGCUUUAUUUGGUUCUGUUGCGCUUGCCAAUAGUCAAUUACCUAUGUUAGGUUUUCUUGUGAUCAGUGGGGCUUAUCCAAUAUUGCAGCCCAGCUCUGUUUUUGUCUCAGAGAUGUCUUUUCCAAGAGAGUUAAAGAAAACUCUUGUUCACUAGUUUAUUGAAUAUUAGCCUUUAUCUACUUAUUUCAAAGGCUCCUUAUUCACUGCUGCAAACACCAAAGUGCUACGGCUGAGCUCUUAGAAUUGAACAAAAGAUAAGCCUGCUCUUUGCCUGAUCUGGCUAAAUACCAGUACACGGAAUAGAGGAAAGAGGGAAUCGUGGGAUCCUGGGGCAUUUGUUUAGCUCAUGCUUGGCUCUCUAAAACUGCCUUAUCCCCUCUACUGCACCCUGUGCAUUGCAGCUAAGAGACCUAAUGCAGAGAUCCAAUUGCAUCGCUGUGCUGGAGUGCACCCCAUUCCUCAGUGCUCCCUGUGCUUAUUCCCUUCCUCAUAUGACUUUGCAGGUGCAUGCCUUUGAAUCCAGACUAGGCCACAUGACGUCCUCUGAUCAACAGAAGGAGGUAGAAAUGAUAAUGUGCUAGUUCUGAGCCCAGGCUUGAGGCCUCGCAUGUCUCCUUUGCACUCUUGUGCCUCUGCCAUUACCAUGAGCAAGACAUGCCCACACUGGCCUGGUGGUCCCAGGAGGAAGAUAAGAGACUCACGAAGAAGCAAACCACUUCAUCAAAGCCCAGCGAGAACCAGCCACCCCCAGCUGACCCCAGAUGGGUAAGUCAUGAGCACUGAUUACUGUUUUGAGCUGCUGAGAUUUGGGAUGGUUUAUUAUGGGCCAAAAGCUGAUGCAUCAUUCUUGUGAUUAAACCCCAGCACGGUCUAAAGUCUAGGUGACACCUUGAAACAUCUGGGCCCUGCUGCUUUUCCUGCCUCAAGACCUCCCUUUUCACUGCACUUUUUCAAAGAUACCAAAUAGUUUUCAGUUCUUAAAAUUUGCAUCGAGCUCAUUUACAUUUCUAUGCUUUGCACCUGGUAUGCCUUCUUCCUGGAAUGCCAUUCUCUCUUUUGUUUGUCUGUGGGAAAACUCCUAUUCAGCUGUCAAAACCCAGCUCAGGCACUGUCUUCUCCAACAAAUCUCCCUAUAUUCUCCUCUGUAGUAAAUCGUCUUCACUUCUGUGAGAGGUCUGGACUCAUAUAUAUAUCUGUUGUUACCACGUAACAUAGUAUUGUAAUUUGGUCUCUUUAUUUUGCUUUUGCCCAUUUUUUGUCAUCUGUUAGACUGAUUCACUUGAGCACUAGGGCAGCCUUAAUUCAUCAGUGUAUCUCAGUGCCUAGAGCAGUGUCUAGUUCCAACAAUGCCUGAUGGCUAAAGGAGGUUU
rnacentral:lncRNA from 1 species